rnacentral:rRNA from 1 species
GACGAACGCUGGCGGCGUGCCUAAUACAUGCAAGUAGAACGCACAGUUUAUACCGUAGCUUGCUACACCAUAGACUGUGAGUUGCGAACGGGUGAGUAACGCGUAGGUAACCUGCCUGGUAGCGGGGGAUAACUAUUGGAAACGAUAGCUAAUACCGCAUAAUAUUGAUUAUUGCAUGAUAAUUAAUUGAAAGGUGCAAUUGCACCACUACCAGAUGGACCUGCGUUGUAUUAGCUAGUAGGUGAGGUAACGGCUCACCUAGGCGACGAUACAUAGCCGACCUGAGAGGGUGAUCGGCCACACUGGGACUGAGACACGGCCCAGACUCCUACGGGAGGCAGCAGUAGGGAAUCUUCGGCAAUGGACGAAAGUCUGACCGAGCAACGCCGCGUGAGUGAAGAAGGUUUUCGGAUCGUAAAUCUCUGUUGUAAGAGAAGAACGGGUGUGAGAGUGGAAAGUUCACACUGUGACGGUAUCUUACCAGAAAGGGACGGCUAACUACGUG